rnacentral:tRNA from 1 species
GCUCCCAUCGGUCUAGUGGCCCAGGACACCGCCCUCUCAAGGCGGGAACACGAGUUCGAACCUCGUUGGGAGCGCCA